rnacentral:tRNA from 1 species
CAGGGCGUAGCUACAACACAAAGCAUUCAGCUUACACCUGAAAGAUAUCUGCCAUNCCCAGAUCACCCUGA